GUUUAUAUAAUUUAUAAAGAAUAUUGCAUUGAAGCUGCAAAAGAGGCUGAAAGUCUGUAAAUA
rnacentral:tRNA from 1 species